GAAGGAGGCGUGGCCUCUGUGCAUCAGUCUCAGUGAAGGAGGCGUGGCCUCUGUGUGUCAGUCUCAGUGAAGGAGGCGUGGCAUCAGUGUAUCAGUCUCAGUGAAGGAGGCGUGGCCUCUGUGCACUAGUCUCAGUGAAGGAGGCGUGGCCUCUGUGCACUAGUCUCAGUGAAGGAGGCGUGGCCUCUGUGCACUAGUCUCAGUGAAGGAGGCGUGGCCUCUGUGCACUAGUCUCAGUGAAGGAGGCGUGGCCUCUGUGCACCAGUCUCAGUGAAGGAGGCGUGGCAUCAGUGCGUCAGUCUCAGUGAAGGAGGCGUGGCAUCAGUGCGUCAGUCUCAGUGAAGGAGGCGUGGCCAUCCACCUUCUUAAAGUGAGCAGAAUAAAUGACACGAUGUUGAUAAUGAGCUGAUCUCAGGUUAAUUCCCAAAAUAUUCAUAUGUUGCCCUUUAGUUGUAAUUGUCCACGCUCCAGGCUGGGGCCGAGUUCUGAGGUCUGACCGCAGUCAGCAGUAUGGACUUCCUGUAGCACUUCCUGUUUUGCUGGAUCACACCGAAGAGGUCCUGUGUGGAAAAAGCGGAGUGUCUGUGCUCCUCUCUGCUCUCGUCUUUGGGAAUAUGUUUUAGUUUUAAGAUGAAAGCACAGCCUGGAUUUGUUUCGUGGAGCUUUUAAACGAGCGCGUGACUCUCUCUGAACACGGGGAGGAAGUCGUGGAUGUGUGUUUGAUGCUUUGCUGUUUUGUGUGGUUUCCUCUGCAG
ensembl:lncRNA